rnacentral:rRNA from 1 species
GACGAACGCUGGCGGCGUGCUUAACACAUGCAAGUCGAACGGUAAGGCCUUUCGGGGUCCACGAGUGGCGAACGGGUGAGUAACACGUGGGUGAUCUGCCCUGCACUUCGGGAUAAGCCCGGGAAACUGGGUCUAAUACCGGAUAGGACUGCGCGGUGCAUGCCGUGUGGUGGAAAGAUUUAUCGGUGCAGGAUGGGCCCGCGGCCUAUCAGCUUGUUGGUGGGGUAAUGGCCUACCAAGGCGACGACGGGUAGCCGGCCUGAGAGGGCGACCGGCCACACGUGACGCGCCCACCGACACACCCGUGCGGGGGGGGCAGGUGUGGAAAUAAUAGCGUAGGGCGCAAGAGCCGGAGGCAGCGGCGGGGGGUGGUGCAUUACCCCUGUCGGGUUACAACCCCCUGCCAGCGGGGACGAGGAGUGGGUGAGGCUACAGGCAAAAGAGGCCCCGCCCCACUACUGGCCAUCAGCGGCGGUAAUAACGGAAGAACCACACCUCCGACC